UGGGGAAUAUUGGACAAUGGGCGAAAGCCUGAUCCAGCAAUGCCGCGUGAGUGAUGAAGGCCUUAGGGUUGUAAAGCUCUUUUUACCAGGGAUGAUAAUGACAGUACCUGGAGAAUAAGCUCCGGCUAACUCCGUGCCAGCAGCCGCGGUAAUACGGAGGGAGCUAGCGUUGUUCGGAAUUACUGGGCGUAAAGCGUACGUAGGCGGUGACUCAAGUCAGAGGUGAAAGCCUGGAGCUCAACUCCAGAACUGCCUUUGAAACUAGGUCGCUAGAAUCACGGAGAGGUGAGUGGAAUUCCGAGUGUAGAGGUGAAAUUCGUAGAUAUUCGGAAGAACACCAGUGGCGAAGGCGGCUCACUGGACGUGUAUUGACGCUGAGGUACGAAAGCGUGGGGAGCAAACAGGAUUAGAUACCCCAGUAGUCCCUGAGCGGGCUGGCAAGGCGCAU
rnacentral:rRNA from 1 species